UGCUUGAUCUGCGUAGCUCAGUUGGUAGAGCAUGAGACUCUUAAAGUUUUUAGUGUUUGAUGUUGUAACUGUGUUUUUACUAUUUUUUGUUGGGAGCUGCCAAGAGUGGCUGGGGCAACCCUAUCAGAUGGGUGGCUUAUAAAUAAUAGAAAUUAAUAAAAACAACCACCACCACCACCAUCCCAGGGAUGCAGGUUCAAGCCCCAAGCUGGGCAA